GCUAGGUGUUGUGGUACACGCCUGUAAUCCCAGCAGCUUGGGAAGCUGAGACAAGAGGAUCUUGAGUUCAGAGCCAGCCUCAGCAAUUUAGUGAGGUGCUGAGCAACUCAGUGAGACCCUGUCUCUA
rnacentral:sRNA from 1 species